UCAAGACAUCAUUGAAUACAAGGGAUUGACCAAGCACGUUUUUAGAUCCAGCAACUCCAAAAAAGGCAUGCCAAACCCAGGUAUGGAAUGAUGCAACAUCCUCCAUAAUUAUACUUUUUUUGGCCCUUCCUAUUCCCAUAAUCUUCUUGCCAAGCAAUUAGGCAAUUCUUCCACUGUCAGUGCAUGCAGUCGAUACUUCCAAUCAUGCCUGGGAAACCUCGAGCCUCGACUUUUUUUAGAAACCUUUGGAGGUCCCUAGGUGUAGGUUUGCCGAGGUAAUCCCUCAUGCAGAGAGUUUUUAUUGCAUCAUAGAAUCUGACCAAGCAUUCUGGGAUAGUUGAUUUCCC
rnacentral:lncRNA from 1 species